rnacentral:rRNA from 1 species
CACCUGCCCAAUGCAUUUGUAAAUGGCUGCAGAAUCUCUAACUGUACUAAGGUAGCAUAAUAAUUUGCUCUUUAAUUUGGAGCUGGAAUGAAUGGUUUGACCAGAUUUGAACUGUCUCCAAUUAUCAAUUGGAAAUUGAAGAGUGGGUAAAAAUGCCUACAUAGAUGAGAGGGACGAGAAGACCCUGUAGAACUUUAAUCCUAAAGGAUUUAACCUGGGAAGGGGCUUGUUAAACUAAUUUUAAAAAAAAACCGAUUAGUUGAAUAAGGUGAUCCUAUGAUAGAAAAAAGAAAAAGUUACCUCAGGGAUAACAGCGCAAUUCAUAAUAAUUUAGUUCUUAUAAAUCAUUUGGCUUUACGACCUCGAUGUUGAAUUAAGGUGAUUUUCGACGAAGAAAUGUCAAUAAAAGUCAGUCUGUCCACUGUUAAAAACC